UUAAGUCAGGCAACGAGCGAGACCCGUGCCCACUGUUACCAGCAUGUCCUCCGGGACGAUGGGUACACUGUGGGGACCGCUGAUGUCAAAUCAGAGGAAGGUGCGGGCUACGGUAGGUCAGUAUGCCCCGAAUCUCCCGGGCUACACGCGGGCUACAAUGGUCGGGACAAUGGGUCCCUUCCCCGAAAGGGGUUGGUAAUCUCACAAACCCGUCCUUAGUUCGGAUCGAGGGCUGUAACUCGCCCUCGUGAAGCUGGAAUCCGUAGUAAUCGCGUUUCAAUAUAGCGCGGUGAAUACGUCCCUGCUCCUUGCACA
rnacentral:rRNA from 1 species